GACGUAGGGCGCAAGCGUUGUCCGGAUUUAUUGGGCGUAAAGAGCUCGUAGGCGGCCUGUCGCGUCGACCGUGAAAUCCCUGGGCUCAACCCAGGAACUGCGUCCGAUACUGGUUGGCUUGAAUCCGGGAGAGGGAUGUGGAAUUCCAGGUGUAGCGGUGAAAUGCGUAGAUAUCUGGAGGAACACCGGUGGCGAAGGCGACAUCCUGGACCGGUAUUGACGCUGAGGCGCGAAAGCCAGGGGAGCAAACGGG
rnacentral:rRNA from 1 species